UCCAACAUUCACUGAAUGCGUACCCCAGUGACAGUCCCCUUUCCACACCCCCACCUAGAUGUCAGAUGGUUUCGCACGCCAUUGAUCUGCAAGCCCUUCGCAAUUUUCGAUUGACAGAUCCAGAGAGCCGCGCACCGGCCUGGUUUACACAUUAAGCCAUUAACAUCGGCAGACGUCGCCAUUGAUCGUAACAUGAAAUCAAUAGAUAUUGAGAUUGAGUGUAUUUCUUGGAGCAUGUACAAGGUAAGUGCCAUUUUCUCUAGGAUAAACAGCUAGCUGUUGCCCGAACCUCUUCCGCUUAUGGCCAGAUGGCUCUUGGGGGGCGGGGCGUGAGGGGAAACAUGGGUGUUCUGAGGUUUGGGUGGAGGAGUGGGCUGAGAGUUUGGGGGGCCUGAUAAGCUGGGUAGUGUCGGACCCAAACCGCACACGAGAUCCGGGAAUUCUCUCCCUUUGCGUUCAGAAAACCAACACGAAGCAAAUUCCUUUAUUAACUGGCUCAUGAACGAACCUUGUCCAUCAGAAGAGCCAUGGCAUCUGCUUUCAGCACCAUCCAGAACCAGUGACCUGCUCGCCGCUUGGACCGGGCGGCACCGAGUGGAGCACAGGCUCCGCCCAGGGAGCGGACGGCUUUGGACAGACCAGAGGAUGUCUGGUGAGACGGAGAGGGAGGAAUGGGAAGGGAAGCGGGGAGGCUGAAGCUCAGCUGACCGCACUGCCUGGCACGUCUGACGGUGUCCGAAGUCUCGCGAGGGACUGACUGUGUGGGCAACAAGCUUCACUUUCUGGCCGACGCAAACGCUGACAGCAAUGGCUGCUGUAGGGUGGCAAAGUUCCCAGCGGGGAGAGCGAGGGAACGUAGAGGGCAUCCUGUACAUCUGACACGACAUCCUUCCAUGAGAGGCUCCACCCUGCAACACUCUUACUGGGAUCCUGCAAUGGGAACGGUCCAGAAACACCAGGAAUGUCAGUGUUCUUGAGUCAUAUUUGAGGUCAGAUAUGAAAAGAUGAUUAA